ACUGGAAUGAUACAGAGAAGAUUAGCAUGGCCCCUGCACAAGGAUGACACAAAAAUUAAUGAAGUGUUCUAUAUU
rnacentral:snRNA from 1 species